GAUGAACGCUGGCGGCGUGCCUAAUACAUGCAAGUCGAGCGAACAGAUGAGGAGCUUGCUCCUCUGACGUUAGCGGCGGACGGGUGAGUAACACGUGGAUAACCUACCUAUAAGACUGGGAUGACUUCGGGAAACCGGAGCUAAUACCGGAUAAUAUAUUGAACCGCAUGGUUCAAUAGUGAAAGACGGUUUUGCUGUCACUUAUAGAUGGAUCCGCGCCGCAUUAGCUAGUUGGUAAGGUAACGGCUUACCAAGGCAACGAUGCGUAGCCGACCUGAGAGGGUGAUCGGCCACUCUGGAACUGAGACACGGUCCAGACUCCUACGGGAGGCAGCAGUAGGGAAUCUUCCGCAAUGGGCGAAAGCCUGACGGAGCAACGCCGCGUGAGUGAUGAAGGUCUUCGGAUCGUAAAACUCUGUUAUUAGGGAAGAACAAAUGUGUAAGUAACUAUGCACGUCUUGACGGUACCUAAUCAGAAAGCCACGGCUAACUACGUG
rnacentral:rRNA from 1 species